CAAACACACACAUAGUACCCACAAACACAACACCAUUGACAAUACACAUACACGCGCACAACCCCACAAGCAGUCUCUCAGAUGCAAUACCACAGUCAGCCCCACUCAUUAUACACCCCACCAAACAUACAUUGUGACGUAUCAUUUACACGGACACAAUUCCACAAGAAGCCCCCAAACACAACCCACAUCCACAAGUAUCAUACACAAUACCACAAACUACUCAU